UACGUAGGGUGCGAGCGUUUGUCCGGAAUUAUUGGGCGUAAAGGGCUCGUAGGCGGUUUGUCGCGUCGGGAGUGAAAACCAGGUGCUUAACACCUGGCUUGCUUUCGAUACGGGCAGACUAGAGGUAUUCAGGGGAGAACGGAAGUUCCUGGUGUAGCGGUGAAAUGCGCAGAUAUCAGGAGGAACACCGGUGGCGAAGGCGGUUCUCUGGGAAUAUCCUGACGCUGAGGAGCGAAAGUGUGGGGAGGCGAACAGG
rnacentral:rRNA from 1 species